UACGUAGGGUGCAAGCGUUAAUCGGAAUUACUGGGCGUAAAGCGUGCGCAGGCGGUUAUAUAAGACAGUUGUGAAAUCCCCGGGCUCAACCUGGGAACUGCAUUUGUGACUGCAUAGCUAGAGUACGGUAGAGGGGGAUGGAAUUCCGCGUGUAGCAGUGAAAUGCGUAGAUAUGCGGAGGAACACCGAUGGCGAAGGCAAUCCCCUGGACCUGUACUGACGCUCAUGCACGAAAAGCGUGGGGAGCAAACAGG
rnacentral:rRNA from 1 species